rnacentral:rRNA from 1 species
AUUGAACGCUGGCGGCAGGCCUAACACAUACAAGUCGAGCGGAUGACGGGAGCUUGCUCCUUGAUUCAGCGGCGGACGGGUGAGUAAUGCCUAGGAAUCUGCCUGGUAGUGGGGGACAACGUUUCGAAAGGAACGCUAAUACCGCAUACGUCCUACGGGAGAAAGCAGGGGACCUUCGGGCCCUGCGCUAUCAGAUGAGCCUAGGUCGGAUUAGCUAGUUGGUGGGGUAAUGGCUCACCAAGGCGACGAUCCGUAACUGGUCUGAGAGGAUGAUCAGUCACACUGGAACUGAGACACGGUCCAGACUCCUACGGGAGGCAGCAGUGGGGAAUAUUGGACAAUGGGCGAAAGCCUGAUCCAGCCAUGCCGCGUGUGUGAAGAAGGUCUUCGGAUUGUAAAGCACUUUAAGUUGGGAGGAAGGGCAGUAAGUUAAUACCUUGCUGUUUUGACGUUACCGGCAGAAUAAGCACCGGCUAACUCUGUGCCAGCAGCCGCCGUAA